rnacentral:rRNA from 1 species
GACGAGGGGUCCAAGCGUUGUUCGGAAUCAUUGGGCGUAAAGCGGGUGUAGGCGGCUCUAUAAGUCAGAAGUGAAAGCCCCGAGCUUAACUUGGGAAGUGCUUUUGAUACUGCAGAGCUUGAAUGUGGGAGAGGGUAGUGGAAUUCCAGGUGUAGUGGUGAAAUACGUAGAUAUCUGGAGGAACACCGGUGGCGAAGGCGGCUACCUGGCCCAACAUUGACGCUGAGACCGAAA